GAGUUGGUAGUUCAGAGGUAGAACUCUCAACUUCCACUUGGGAGAACCAGGUUGGAUUCCUGGCUGACGCA
rnacentral:tRNA from 1 species